rnacentral:rRNA from 1 species
GACAGAGGGGGCAAGCGUUGCUCGGAAUUACUGGGCGUAAAGGGCGCGUAGGCGGGAUGGCAAGUCGGUCGUGAAAUCCCUCGGCUCAACUGAGGAUCGUCGAUCGAUACUGCCGUUCUUGAGGAUUGCAGAGGAGACUGGAAUUUCCGGUGGAGCGGUGAAAUGCGUAGAUAUCUGGAGGAACACCGGUGGCGAAGGCGGCGUUCUGGACUGCAACUGACACUGAAAAACGAAAGCCAGGGGAGCAAACGGG